ACCAAUCCCAUCCGACCUGGACGACGACGAGCCCCCUGGCUCCGCCCCCGCUGACCCCAGCUGCGGGCAUUUGCCCCGGAUCUCCAGCAGUCCCUGCCCUCCUCCAACCGCCUCAGGCCACGGGAACGCUUCCUCCAGAACUGAGUGCCCAGCUUUGGGACAGACACUGCUCGCGCAGGAGAGAGAGGGGAUCCGUGAGCCGCCAGCUCCGAUUUCCAGGUCGUAGCACCGGGACGAGGGUUUGCUUGGACAAAGGUGGCAGGAGCACCUUCCCGAUGGAUGGUUCCCGGCGCCCGAGGAGACCGCGGGAGUCCCGGACAGAAUCGAAGGGCCGCAGAGCUGGAGACACCUGCUCCGAUUUCCAGGUCGUAGCACCGGGACGAGGGUUUGCUUGGACAAAGGUGGCAGGAGCACCUUCCCGAUGGAUGGUUCCCGGCGCCCGAGGAGACCGCGGGAGUCCCGGACAGAAUCGAAGGGCCGCAGAGCUGGAGACACCUGGUACGUUGGGGCGUGUGUGACGGAGGACGAGGCGGGCUCCUCUGCGUGCGUAGGGGGGGUGGAUGGGUGUGUGUCCGUGUGUGUGUGUGUCCGUGUGUGUGUGUGUGUGUGUGUGUGUGUGUGUGCGUGCGCGUGUUUCAGUGGAUGGCACCAGGGCAGAGGAGAAGGGAGAAGCCGGGCCUCCCAGGAGGCUGGGCAUUUGGAAGCUGAGGAAAGGGAGAAUCGCUAGGCCCAGAGGAAUCCCUUCGGGGUGGGGAGGUCGGGAGGAGCCCUCGGGAGACGCGUCUCGGGUUUGCUCCCUCCUUGCUCUCUUCCUGUGCUCCGGCCUUACAAUUCCCCCUGCCGACACACUCUCUGUGGGGUCCUCUCCCUCCUCUGCGGGAAGGGAGAGGGGAGCAGAGGAUCUGAGGGUUCCACCACCGUCUCACCCAGACGGGGGAGGGUUCCCUCCGUGUCCACUGUUUUUCUUCUGGCCCUCGGCACCGCGCGUGGAAUCCGGGGGCAGACAGGACUGUCCCCUGUGGAGCGCGGGCACCUCUUUCUGCAAAGUGCUCAGGCCCGAGGAGAUGUCUCUCCUUCUCCUGCGGAGGAGCCCCGUCCAGAGGGCACUCUUUCCCGUGGGCACCGUCCCUGGUUCCCUCCCUAUCGGC
rnacentral:lncRNA from 1 species